rnacentral:rRNA from 1 species
AUUGAACGCUGGCGGCAGGCCUAACACAUGCAAGUCGAACGAGUGGCGGACGGGUGAGUCAUGUCUGGGAAACUGCCUGAUGGCGGGGGAUAAAUACUGUAAACGGUAGCUAAUACCGCAUACCAUCGGAUGUGCCCAGAUGGGAUUAGCGAGUAGGUGGGGUAAAGGCUAACCUAGGCGACGAUCCCUAGCUGGUCUGAGAGGAUGACCAGCCACACUGGAACUGAGACACGGGUCAGACUCCUACGGGAGGCAGCAGUGGGGAAUAUUGCGAAAUGGGCGCAAGCCUGAUACAGCCAUGCCGCGUGUAUGAAGAAGGCCUUCGGGUUGUAAAGUACUUGCAGCGGGGAGGCGUUACCCGCAGAAGAAGCACAGGCUAACUCCGUGCCAGCCGCCGCGGUAAUAC